ensembl:lncRNA
GAUGACAUUGCAGGCUCUGAGUUUCUUUCAGCACUGCACUUUGUCAGUCCAUCCUUGCUGUGUGUGUGUGUGUGAGAGAGAGAGAGCUUUUCUUUGACAUCUGUAUUCUAGGUGAUGUAGUGGUGUAAUAAUGUGUUGUAUUGUAGGUGAUGUAUUGGUGUAAUAAUGUGUUGUAUUGUAGAUAUGUAGUGGUGUAAUAAUGUGUUGUAUUCUAGGUGAUGUGGUGGUGUAAUAAUGUGUUGUAUUGUAGGUGAUGUAUUGGUGUAAUAAUGUGUUGUAUUGUAGAUAUGUAGUGGUGUAAUAAUGUGUUGUAUUCUAGGUGAUGUAGUGGUGUAAUAAUGUGAUGUAGUGGUGUAAUAAUGUGUUGUAUUGUAGGUGAUGUAGUGGUGUAAUAAUGUGUUGUAUUGUAUGUGAUGUAGUGGUGUAAUAAUGUGAUGUAUUGUAUGUGAUGUAGUGGUGUAAUAAUUUGUUGUAUUGUAUGUGAUGUAGUGGUGUAAUAAUGUGAUGUACUGUAGGUGAUGUAGUGGUGUUGUAUUGUAGGUGAUGUAGUGGUGUAAUAAUGUGUUGUAUUGUAGGUGAUGUAGUGGUGGAAUAAUGUGUUGUAUUGUAUGUGAUGUAGUGGUGUAAUAAUGUGAUGUAGUGGUGUAAUAAUGUGUUGUAUUGUAGGUGAUGUAGUGGUGUAAUAAUGUGAUGUAUUGUAUGUGAUGUAGUGGUGUAAUAAUGUGUUGUAUUGUAGGUGAUGUAGUGGUGUUGUAUUGUAGGUGAUGUAGUGGUGUAAUAAUGUGUUGUAUAUGUGAUGUAGUGGUGUAAUAAUGUGCCUUAAGGCUCAGAACAUUCUUAGUCAAAGGUCAGGAAUUAACAGUGACCCAUUAAGCCAUGCAGAGACAUUCUCCAUCAGCAUGCCAGCUUUCCAUGUCAAAUUUGUCCUCAUUCAGUGCUGCCAGACAAAAAUGCAUCCAGUUACACGUUUUUUGAUGUUGUGGCUAUUGUAAUCGACUCUAAGGCAAGUGGGCUCAGACACUGAAAACGGUAUGUUUUUCCAGGCAAAGGUUCCUCUCUGGAUUGUAUAUAUACAGCUCUUGCGAUUAUUUUAGGGGAUGUGACAAAUGUAAAAAUGUCCUUAAGGUUUAACCAGACUUUUUUCUCUCUCAUUUAAUCAUUUGUAAUAAAAUCAUAGGAUAACGUGAAUUCAAAAUUCAGAUACGAUCGCCUAUGACCACUAGGGGGCAAUUCAUUUCAAUGUACCGUUGUCUCGACCACCUACCAGCUAGAUGGCGCUCACCUUACUGCUGUCCCCGACCCACUCAGCAACAAUGGUAUUAAUGCCGAUUUAGGUUCUCUGUUGUGUUCCUUUCCUCCAUGUUCUCAGUGGUCAGUACUUCUCAUCAAGGUAUCAAGGUCGUUGCAGUGAUGUAUGACAGCGUGUUCAUAACAAUCUGUUGUUAACGCGCUUUGUACUUGCAGAGCAAUCAUUGUACAAUUUCUCCAUCUGGGCCAUCACAGUCUUGUAGUCUGGUUCUAGAUAUGCCAUCAGGUUAUUGAAGCCGACGUCUAUCCGCAUAACAACUGCAAUCAUGUAAUCAGCUCUGUGGUUUUUCUCACUCUUUUUUUUCUAUUUUUCCGGGCAAGUCAGUUAAGAACUAAUUCUUAUUUACAAUGACGGCCUUGGAACAGUGGG